rnacentral:sRNA from 1 species
UCCAAUCUCCGGAGCAGGCUGGGUGUCGC